CUUCUGAAACUGGACCCCGACAUGUAUCCCAUGUUUCGCUCAGGGUUUUGUCCUACGUUGGAGAUCGGGAUAACCACAUAAAUCCCUCGUUGAUUGCUCAUCAAAGCAAGGUACACACUAAACACCCACACAUACAAAUCUAUCAUGCUCUGCAUGACACCUGCAUUUUGGCCCCAAAUCGUACAGAUAAGCAUUCUCUUGAUGUGUGUAUUUACGGCGACAAGCACCCGGCUGACAACAUACUACGUAGGGGAUCUGUUCCGGCAUGGAGUACUCCGGACUGGCCGCGUGUGCUAAUGUACUCCAUGAAAUUCGACUACGGGGUGUAUACAUGACUGGUGGCGACAUCCGGACUUGACAGCGCAUUACAAUUAUCUUUUUUUUUUGGAGAAGGUAGUAGUCGUUCUCAAUAAUGAGUCCAAGAACCAACCCCCUUAUCCAGUCAUUGACUACCAUUAACCACUCAAUAUACACGAUCAUGCAGAACCACCACCCAUUCCUAUAGACUAGCGAAUCUGAUAACAUAGUCACUCUGUACGUGGUUUACAUAUCCAUGCCCUGUGUACGUACGCACGCAAGUCUUUUCACCUGCAGAACGAUCUGCAAAAUGUUCGAUUCGUGAUUGGGUGGCUCGUACUUUUCUUUCCUUCCCUCAAUAACUAUCCCUUCUUAAGUCCGGUCGCCAAUCAACACUUUUCAUUUCGAUUUCUUUUCGGGGAGUAUGCAUUAUCCUGGGGUGCUAUCACCUGAUAGUCUGAUAGUACAUGCAUACGAAACAUUUGACUCAUUUUUCUAGAAGAUCUACAUCGUUACUUGUUUGGGUAACCCAUCAGUUGGUUGUGCUACCACCACCCACCAAUCCCGUCCCCACCGAAUAAGGAACUACGCAGGAAUCACCGAGUAUGAUUCAUGUUUAGUCAUCUGCCUACCUACCUAUCUAAGUUAACUAACUAGUUAUCUAAAUGAUCGACAAUCUCCAAACCAAAACACCAAUUGCAAUUCGGUACGAAGAUACUCAUCGCAUUGCAUACUAUAUAUGUAGCAGCUAGUCAAUAAUCACACUGAAAAUACAGAGCGACAAGCGUCGUAGAUACUAGACACUAAGACCCUACUGCCAACUCGUGCCAAGUCACCUUAACUGGGCUGUAUGAGUCAGGCUCGUUGGUAGUGACAUCAAGACCGCCAUACAAAAAAAAAAAGGCGCGUUGGUUGGUUGAUCUGUUGGUUGGAAUUGUCUGUCUCAUGUGGAGAUUUGAGUUUUGAAUCUAUUUUCGCACAGCCCAUGUUUAAAUUUAUCUUUGUUGGGCUAACGGGCUUGGCUAACAAAGUUAAGUUGACUAGAUACUACUACGAGUACGUACGUAUAUAACUAGUAGACGGCCUAUUCUAAGUUUCUAACAGUCGCCUCGUCGGCUAGUCAAAACCCGAGCUCAAAUUAAUAACAAUGUCCAUUAUUAAGCGUCGGAAGCGCACCUCUGAGUCUCUGACAAAUAACCUAUCCGGUGUUUGGCAGCCGAUCAUUCGCGGGUCAAGAAUAUCAGAAGGGGGGGAGGGUACUGCAGAAAAAGGAAAUAUUCUAGAAACCCUGGGAGAAGCAGGGUGCACAGACCUGUCGGUUCGUCUCGUUUUGUUACAGCUAAUACUGUGUAACAUCUGUAUCCCCUGUACGGAGUACGGUGUACUCCGUACGUACUGUAUGAAGACAUGGGGAUCAAAUCA
rnacentral:lncRNA from 1 species